CACGUAGGGUGCGAGCGUUGUCCGGGAAUUAUUGGGCGUAAAGAGCUCGUAGGCGGUGUGUCGCGUCGGCCGUGAAAACCUGCAGCUUAACUGUGGGCUUGCGGUCGAUACGGGCAUCACUGGAGUUCGGCAGGGGAGACUGGAAUUCCUGGUGUAGCGGUGAAAUGCGCAGAUAUCAGGAGGGAACACCGGUGGCGAAGGCGGGUCUCUGGGCCGAUACUGACGCU
rnacentral:rRNA from 1 species